rnacentral:rRNA from 1 species
UAACGCGUGAGUAACCUGCCCAUAAGAGGGGGAGUAAUCCAUGGAAACGUGGACUAAUACCGCAUAUUGAAUAUUUACCGCAUGGCAGAUAUUUGAAAGAUUUAUCGCUUAUGGAUGGACUCGCGUCAGAUUAGCUAGUUGGUGAGGUAAAGGCUCACCAAGGCGACGAUCUGUAGCCGAACUGAGAGGUUGAUCGGCCGCAUUGGGACUGAGACACGGCCCAGACUCCUACGGGAGGCAGCAG